rnacentral:rRNA from 1 species
AAGUCUUGACAUCCUUCUGACCGCUCCUUAGCCGGAGCUUCCCUUCGGGGCAGGAGAGACAGGUGGUGCAUGGUUGUCGUCAGCUCGUGUCGUGAGAUGUUGGGUUAAGUCCCGCAACGAGCGCAACCCCUAUUCUCAGUAGCCAGCGGUCAGGCCGGGCACUCUGGGGAGACUGCCGGAGACAAUCCGGAGGAAGGUGGGGAUGACGUCAAAUCAUCAUGCCCCUUAUGACUUGGGCUACACACGUGCUACAAUGGUGGUAACAAAGUGAAGCGACCCCGUGAGGGCAAGCGAACCACAAAAAAGCCAUCUCAGUUCGGAUUGUAGUCUGCAACCCGACUACAUGAAGCUGGAAUCGCUAGUAAUCGCAAAUCAGAAUGUUGCGGUGAAUACGUUCCCGGGUC